GAUGAGCGCUGGCUGCGUGCCUAAUACAUGCAAGUCGAGCGAACAGACGAGGAGCUUGCUCCUCUGACGUUAGCGGCGGACGGGUGAGUAACACGUGGAUAACCUACCUAUAAGACUGGGAUAACUUCGGGAAACCGGAGCUAAUACCGGAUAAUAUAUUGAACCGCAUGGUUCAAUAGUGAAAGACGGUUUUGCUGUCACUUAUAGAUGGAUCCGCGCCGCAUUAGCUAGUUGGUAAGGUAACGGCUUACCAAGGCAACGAUGCGUAGCCGACCUGAGAGGGUGAUCGGCCACACUGGAACUGAGACACGGUCCAGACUCCUACGGGAGGCAGCAGUAGGGAAUCUUCCGCAAUGGGCGAAAGCCUGACGGAGCAACGCCGCGUGAGUGAUGAAGGUCUUCGGAUCGUAAAACUCUGUUAUUAGGGAAGAACAAAUGUGUAAGUAACUAUGCACGUCUUGACGGUACCUAAUCAGAAAGCCACGGCUAACUAC
rnacentral:rRNA from 1 species